UACGUAGGGAGCAAGCGUUGUUCGGAUUUACUGGGCGUAAAGGGCGCGUAGGCGGCAAAUUAAGUCAGCUGUGAAAUCUCCGAGCUUAACUCGGAACUGUCAGCUGAUACUGAUCUGCUAGAGUGCGGAAGGGGCAAUCGGAAUUCUUGGUGUAGCGGUGAAAUGCGUAGAUAUCAAGAGGAACACCUGAGGUGAAGACGGGUUGCUGGGCCGACACUGACGCUGAGUGCGCGAAAAGCCAGGGGGAGCAAACGGG
rnacentral:rRNA from 1 species